rnacentral:rRNA from 1 species
GAUGAACGCUGGCGGCGUGCCUAAUACAUGCAAGUCGAGCGAACGGACGAGAAGCUUGCUUCACUGAUGUUAGCGGCGGACGGGGGAGUAACACGUGGAUAACCUACCUAUAAGACUGGGAUAAAUUCGGGAAACCGGAGCUAAUACCGGAUGAUAUUUUGAACCGCAUGGUUCAAAAGUGAAAGACGGUCUUGCUGUCACUUAUAGAUGGAUCCGCGCUGCAUUAGCUAGUUGGUAAGGUAACGGCUUACCAAGGCAACGAUGCAUAGCCGACCUGAGAGGGUGGUCGGCCACACUGGAACUGAGACACGGUCCAGACUCCUACGGGAGGCAGCAGUAGGGAAUCUUCCGCAAUGGGCGAAAGCCUGACGGAGCAACGCCGCGUGAGUGAUGAAGGUCUUCGGAUCGUAAAACUCUGUUAUUAGGGAAGAACAUAUGUGUAAGUAACUGUGCACAUCUUGACGGUACCUAAUCAGAAAGCCACGGCUAACUACGUG